CACGCCUCCACGUUCGGUUUCGUCACAGCGGUGCUCUCUCGCUUUCAUCUCUUUGUGGAUGGAGGCGCGUGCGGGGACUGGUGCGGGCCUCUCCCCUCCUCCGCAUAGAGUAAACUCACCCAUGCACGUACGUGCGCGCGCGCGAAGACAGCAGGCAGCACGGCGGUCCAUUGGCGUGUGUGUGUGUGUGUGUGUGUGUGUGUGUGCGGGUUUCUGAAGCGAGGCCGCUGCGUUGCUGCGGAAAAGGCUCAACCGCACGAGCAAGGAAGAAGAAGGAAGCAGCGAAGGGGAUGCGGAGUCACCUACAGCACCGUUCGCGCUGCUGACACCGCGCACACCCCACCCCGCACACACACACGCACGCACACGCGUGCCUGCGCAGAGAGGUGCGUUCUUGAAUGUGUGGAAUGGUCGAUUCCUCUUGCUUCUGCACACAGUCAUCUUGAUCUCGAGCGCGCAAGAGCGCCACUUUCACGACACAGAGCACAAAGGCGGUCCGCUCUAUAGCAGUCAAUGUCGAGACUUCGCCGCACCAGCGUACCGCUCUACUUUCACACACUGACGGCUUGUGCGCUCCUCGACUCACAUCGCUCCCUCUGGAGCGGCACCGACGGCACCAUCGCGUCCGCCUGCGUGCGCCUUGAAAACAUCGAUCUCAUCGGCUGCGUCGGCGACACCGCUGCGGCCAAGCCUCCUUAUGCGCGGUAUGUCGGUAAGUUCUUUGGUAACAGCGCGAGCGCCGCUGCUGCUGGCGGCAGCAUCACGUCCAUGAUUCCUGGAGUCGUCUACGCCGUUCACCUGCAGCACCUCUUUCUGCCGCUCAUCAUCGAGAUCGGCUUUGGCGUCCACAUUGAACACAAUAAGAGCGAGGAGUACCUCAGCGGCUUGGUGGGUGGCGUCUUCGUGCGCGUGAACGGCAACGGAACGUAUAGAACGCUGCUGCUGGACAGCAGCGGCUUCAACGUGGCUGGUCCCGCGGAGACGAUAAUCCCACCAGAAGGCCGACCGAAAAUCCUGAGCACAGCUAAGCACCGCGAGGUGGUGGAACGGUUUCACACGGCCUGCUUGGCGCACAUUCCGCAAGAGGGGCCCCUGCGCGUGCUGGACGAAUCGAGGCGGCAUAGAGACCACCAUCGAUGGGUGCUGCAGCUUCUGAAAAAGCGGGUAGCCGAGCGCGGCUUGCGCUGCGAUUCCAUCAACUGCAGCGGUGUGGUCAGCGCGGUUCUGGCGCUUUCGUGUAUCGCCUUCGCGUUGGAGCACCAUUUGAUGACUCAUCGCAGAGAGCAACGUACACUUCAGCUCGCAAGCGCCACUAACUCGCUCACGCACACGUCAAAUCGCAUCCGUAGCGUCCUUUUAUGGCCUCAUCGGUGCCGCAGCACAUUACUUCGCAACAAAGAGAAGAGAAUACAGUUUUCCAGUUGGUGCCGUAGCGUCCCUGCAGCGCCGUGCGCGCGGAGGCUGCGCGGGGGCAGUAGCUCGCGGCGGGUGUACAAGGGCGCGGUCGCGCUGGCGUGCGACGGUCGUCUGUGCGAUCUCGCCCGGGAGGUGGCCAUGGAGCCGCUGACCGUGGCAGGCGCUGGGCUGCCGCGCCGCGACGCCUGCACGAGUCCCGUGCUCGACCGCGAGCGCAGGCACUCGCCUACGCGCAGCACACUUUGUGGGCCCCGUCAGCCCCAGCCGCAUCAUCGACAUCAUCGGAACGAGCAGCAGCGAUUUGGACGAGCUGUUUGCCGCCGUGCACCAAGGCCGCGGCGGGCGGCGCUGUGGAGGGCACUGCGCCGCACGGUCCCGUAAAGGAUGUGUGGCUGCUGCGCACGAGGCUUUUCCGCUCCGCUGCGCCUUUCCCCGGUGCUGCCGGCUGUAGAUGCGAGGUGAGGUGAGGUGGUGAUGGAGGAGGGCGGGGCAGGGAUCUGUGCGAGCGCGUGAGUGCGGGGGUGGAGGGGCACACUCACAUGCUCCGACUCGCAUCUGCUGCUCUUCGUCGUGCCGCCUUUCUGUGUGGUGCCGAGCGGCUGCGGUGCCGUCUCUGUGCGCCCUCGCCCCGUGCCUAUCCGCCGCCUCCAUCUCUGCUGUCUGCAACGAGCGGGACGGGCGGUGACGGCGCGGCGCCGGUGGUGUCGGUGGAUUGUCGCAGCGGUGGGCGCGGUGGUGCUGCGUGCCAGGGCCGCGACGGAGGAUGUGUGUGUGUGUGUGUGUGUGUGUGUGUGUGUGUGUCGCUGUCUUUCCUCGCGCUGUU
rnacentral:misc_RNA from 1 species